GGUUUGUGGCUCAGUGGUAGAGUGCUCCCCUAGCAUGGUGAGGCCCUGGGUUCAAUCCUCAGCACCA
rnacentral:tRNA from 1 species